AUUGUGUUUUCAUGCUUGGAAAUGAUAAUGGCUACCACUAAUAUGUGUCUGCAAAUCGGCAGGAACCUGGACAAUUGUGCGACUCAGAAUUGCAGGAGAGAGUGGCCUCCGUUCCUGUCACACCUGUUCAAUUUUCCUCUCCUGCUGCUUCCACUCUUGCCUGUAUGAUAAGAUUUGAGGAAAUCCUCUCUGAGAUGACUUGCCAGCUUACAAAAACAGACUUACCCCUACAGACAUCUGGAGGUCCCUCCAUAGAACAGCCGGUUCCUCCAAUCACUUCCUUUCGGCAUUUAGAAUGACUUGGAACAAAAGGAAGGGAACUGUUUGCGAAUGACUAACAGCAUGAAAAGCAAUGCCGAGAUUUUGUUCUACCUGACUCAGAACCUAAAGAAUUGGAGAUUUAUGGUUGUCUACAAAAUGCUGCAGUGAAAUGCGAAGAAAGGAGCCCAGACCAGUUAGGAUGAGAGAAAACAGAGACACAGAGAAGAAAACGUUCCCAUCCACCUCCAUCCCCAGCAUCCCUACGCGUUGACUCUUCUGGUCCUCCUGUUCCGCAAACGACCCAUUUCCAGAGAGAAGGACCUGAAGGGGUGGGGUCCCGAGAAGGAGAGAAGAGCCUGACUGACCACCAGGGCUCAACAGCAGGACCGAAAUGGAGGAGGUGGAAACAACAGCAGUUGUGGAAUUCCGUGGAGCAUCUCCUCAAAUGGAAAAUAUUACCCGGCAAAUCUCUGCCUCAGCCGGAGGUUCUUACCUGCCCUGCAAGGUCCUCUAC